rnacentral:lncRNA from 1 species
GAGUAUUGAGCAGUCAGACCUACAAAGCUCUAAAUGAAUCUCUGACUGAAAGAAAACAAGUGUGGGUUUUUUUUGCUAACAGAAUGCAAACCUAGAAUACAGACAGACCUUUUCUGAUAUGUAAUUAGAGAUAUUUUUAUAUAGAUACUGUAUUCAGAAUGUGUGUAUAAAAGUUAACUGUAGAAUUUAUGGCUUAACAAUUUAAUUUUUGUUAAGAAUCUGUUUGGAAAUACAUUGCAAAGACUUAAUGUAAAUGGCUGUCUUUCAUUGAGAAACAUUACUUUGUAGAUGUAUUUUCAAUAAAAAUAGUUUUACAUUACUGCUUUUUUGUGAUUUCUUUCAAAGACUCUGAAACAGAAGAAACUUCA